GACGAACGCUGGCGGCGUGCUUAACACAUGCAAGUCGAGCGGUAAGGCCCUUUCGGGGGUACACGAGCGGCGAACGGGUGAGUAACACGUGGGUGACCUGCCCUCAGCUCUGGGAUAAGCCUGGGAAACCGGGUCUAAUACUGGAUAUGACUCCAUGACGCAUGUUGUGGGGUGGAAAGCCUUGUGCGGCUGAGGAUGGGCCCGCGGCCUAUCAGCUUGUUGGUGGGGUGAUGGCCUACCAAGGCGACGACGGGUAGCCGGCCUGAGAGGGCGACCGGCCACACUGAGACUGAGACACGGCCCAGACUCCUACGGGAGGCAGCAGUGGGGAAUCUUGCGCAAUGGGCGAAAGCCUGACGCAGCGACGCCGCGUGA
rnacentral:rRNA from 1 species